CCCUUAGAUGUUCUGGGCCGCACGCGCGCUACACUGACGAAGUCAGCGAGCAUCUCCUACGCCGAAAGGUGCGGGGAAUCUUGUGAAACUUUGUCGUGCUGGGGAUUGAUUUUUGAAAUUCUUGAUCAUCAACGAGGAAUUCCUAGUAAGCGCAAGUCAGCAGCUUGCGUUGAUUACGUCCCUGCCCUUUGUACACACCGCCCGUCGCUCCUACCGAUUGAAUGAUCCGAUGAAUAUCAUGGAUUGAGGAUGCAAGUAGGUUCGCCUAUCUUCAUCUUCGAGAAGUGAAGUAAAUCUUAUCAUUUAGAGGAAGGAGAAGUCGUAACA
rnacentral:rRNA from 1 species